rnacentral:lncRNA from 1 species
UAUUAUGGGUGUAGUAUGCAAAUAUUGUGACAAAUUAUUUUCUAGUCAAUCAAAUAUCAACAAACAUAUAAAAAAUGUACACAAGUUAAAAGCCUCUGCAGUUUUUUAUGAUAAAGCAGUUUGGAAUAGUAAAUGCAUGGAGAGCGCCUGUAAUUCCUCAUUUCAACGAAAUGAAGAUUUAGUAAUUCAUCUUAGAACAGAACACAAAUUAUGUUAUUUGAAACUGAAGAUCUUUUUUUUACAAGUAAAAAAGAAUUUGCAGAAUGGAAAACCUCAAUGGAAGAGCAAUACCAGUGCAAUUAUGUUAUUUCAGCAAAAAGGAAUAAGGGUGAAAAUACUGAAAUUAUUUAUUAUAAAUGCAACCGAAGCAAUAUUAACAAAGUAACAAUUAAAGAGCAUCAACAAAGAAAUUUAAAAAGUCAGGGUACUUGUAAAUUAAACUUUACAUGUAUCAGCCAAAUUAAAAUUGUAUAUAAGUCAAAUAAAUGUAGUAUACAUUGGAUUAAAACACAUUAUAACCAUAAGGCGGAGUUAGAGCAUAUUAGACUUUCAAGCAGAAUGAAAAAUGAAAUUGCUGCAAAGCUAGUUAGUGGUUUAUCUGAUCAAAGGGUCUUGGAAAUAAAUCGAGAUAAGAUUGGAGAACAUCUCAAACGUAUUGACCUAAACCUUAUUUCAAACAGUUCAUUACUUUUAAUAGAAAUGUCCAUGAUUACCCUACAAGAAAUAGUGAUGAUAUUAUUAUUCCAAUAGCAAAUUUUAGAAGUACCAUGAAUUCUUUGUUUUUUAAGGGUUUUCAAAAAUAUAAUAGUCUUCCUCGAGAAAUAAAGGAAUCACAAUCUCUUGAUCGGUUUAAAACUGUUCUAAAGAAUUAUAUGAAUAAUAUAAAGUAAUUUGGAAAUUGGCGAAUUAGGGCAAUAAACUAAUGUGGUUGGUGGAAAUUCAUUUAUUUGUUUGUUUUUCUCUCAAGAGGGUGAAAUUGUGCUUAUUAUUGUUUUUUAUUUAUUUAUUUUUUUUUUGUUGUUACCUAGUUAAGUUACUUAUUUAGUAUAGUUUUGUUUUUAUGUAUAUUAGAUGUACCUACUUAAUAAAGAUAUAUUUCAUUUCAUUUCAUUUCAUAACUUCUAAAGAUGUGGACAACAUUAAAGUCAAGUAUAAUAUAGAAGCCAAAUAUGGGAAGAGGCCUCCAAAUGACGCGUUUUCGGUAGAUCUCUGGGUAAGGGAAUGUCAGUCUAAGCCGCCCCAUGAAAAUAUGGUGUUGUUUUAUAAGAAGCAAGGUGAAGAUUUCAGAAAAAUGGACUUUUGUUUAAUUAUAAUGAAUUCUUUUGAAGAAUUAAUGCUUAAAAAAUUUAGUAACAAUGUCAUUGCAGUUGAUAGCACACAUGGUUUAAAUAACUAUGAUUUUGAAAUGUCUACUGUAAUGAUUAUUGAUGAUUUUGGGGAAGGUGUGCCGGUUGCUUUCAUGUUCUUGAACAGAAAAGACACUUAUGUGUAUCAUGUCUUUUUUAAAACAGAAAACAACAAAAAGGAUAAACAAUCAGAAAUAUACCAGAUGUAUACCAGAAAGUACUGCAAUCAGAAAUGGAUGAGGUAGAAUUUGAGAAAAAAUUGGUUUCGGCAAUAAAUAUUAUGUUGGAUGAUGAUGAUACAAAAAUCUUUGGAUCUUACUUUCAGUUAAAUUAUUUAAAAAACACCAAACAGCGGGCAUAUUGCUUUAGAAAAUCAACAGGAAUUAACACAAAUAUGAGACUUGAAUCUAUGCAUAAAGUAAUCAAGUAUUUCUAUUUAAAUCAUAAAAAAAUUAAAAGGCUUGAUAAAGGGUUACAUGUAGUUUUGCGGUAUAUUAAAAAUAAAAAUGUGUAGAGAAUUAUAAAGUUGACUAAAGGAAAAAAUACUAUUUACAAUAGGGAAAUUUUUAAAAGACAUAAACUAGCACUUCAAAGUACUUUUAACUACACUGUUAACAAUAAUAAUGUUUGGGAACUUUCCAGUAAUAAAAGCCAAAAAUAUAUGAUUUUAAAACAUUCAAACUUAAGUUGUUGCAAAUUAACUUGUUCUUUUUGCAAAAUAUGCCUACAUAUGUAACUUUUAAAAACAAGGGUAACACUUUUGAGGCGCCAAAUAAGAAUAUUGAGCACCAAUUGCGAUUUUGUUCCACCAAAAAAAAAAAGAAACCAACAUCAAACAACAAAAAACCCGAUAAAGAACAGGCUGAGCAUAUUAAAAAUGUUUUAAAUUGUAAAUCUGAAUUGUUUAUAUCUACAAAUUGUAUUAAUGAUCAUUUGUACUUGUAAGUUAAUAUGCAAUAAAUGUAUAUACCUACUAUAGUUUUUUGUAUAUACCUAUACAUAUCUCUAUUUUUUAUAACUGUUUUAAUAAAUAGCAAACUAUAAAAGCCUA